GUAGGGAAUAUUGGGCAAUGGUCGGAAGACUGACCCAGCCAUGCCGCGUGCAGGAAGACGGCCCUCUGGGUUGUAACUGCUUUUAUCUGGGAAGAAAAAGGCCAUGCGUGGCAAAUUGCCGGUACCAGAUGAAUAAGCACCGGCUAACUCAGUGCCAGCAGCCGCGGUAAUACGGAGGGUGCGAGCGUUGUCCGGAUUUAUUGGGUUUAAAGGGUGCGUAGGCGGCUGAUUAAGUCAGCGGUGUAAGACUUCGGCUUAACCGGAGCAGUGCCGUUGAUACUGGUUUGCUUGAGUGUCGGAGAGGUACAUGGAAUUGAUGGUGUAGCGGUGAAAUGCAUAGAUACCAUCAGGAACACCGAUAGCGAAGGCAUUGUACUGGCCGACAACUGACGCUGAUGCACGAAAGUGUGGGGAUCGAACAGGAUUAGAAACCCUUGUAGUCC
rnacentral:rRNA from 1 species